UCCCUUUUCCUUCCUCUCGUCUUUUCUCUGUGUUAUGCACCUUUUUCCAUACGCCUAUGUCCCAUCUGUAGGAGUGGCAAAUAUCCCCAAUCCAGUGGAGAAUCACCCCGCCCCUGCCCCAUUUAAAGCGGAUUUAAAGAGCCGUUUACUUAAAUGGAGCAAGGAUGGGGGUUAAAAAAAAAAUCCGCUGGUUGCAGGGGACUCAGAUCCCCACCCCCAUUCGCCCCGAAACCGGUCCGAUUAAUAUUGAGGCGGCAGCGUCGGCACUGAUAGAUCUGAUGAAGACAACAACCAAGAAGGAGCCAAGGCCGAAGUAACUAGCAUAGCAGAUGUGGUCCAAAUUUGGUCACACCUCCAAACACUGAUGUGAUUUAAGGAUGGCAAUUGAAAAGCAAUAUUAUUUGGCCCACAAAAGCUUCUGAGCUUUGGUAUUAUGGCGAGAUGCAGCUCCUCUUUUGAAAAGGAUUGCUUGGGAUAUUUUAGCUAUCCCGGUGUCUACAGUUGCAUCGGAGUCUGCCUUCAGCACCGGUGGCAGAGUGGUCAGUCCUCAUCAAUAGACUUCAUCCAACUACUUUGGAGGCUUUGAUGUGUGCUCAAAGUUGGUUGUUGAGUGAAGAGAAUGGAGCUCAUUCAAACAUAGACCCAUCCAAUGUCAAUAUAUUUUGUGAUUGUGAUGAUAAUGAUUCUCCAAAUUAUGAAGCUUUGGACUAAGAUUAGGUUGGUGAUAAUUGGUGGUUUUGAGUAGUUUUAUUCCUCUUAAUUAAGGCUGCUGUUGGAAAAGUCUUAUGUUUGUUUGUUGGAAAUUUGGAAUUUUUUUUUUUCUUUGUUUGGUGGAAGAUUGUUGCUUUAAGCCUUUAAUUUGAUUACUUUAUGUUGGAACUUGGAUGAAUGUUAUUUAAAUGAUGAUGUUGGAUGAUGUUGCAAGAAUGUUCAGAUUUAUAAGGUUGUUACAGAAGUUUAGAUUUUA